UACCCGCCAGAGAAUUACGAGCAAAAAGCUUAAAACUCUAAGGACUUGGCGGUACCUCAAACCCCCCUAGAGGAGCCUGUUCUAUAAUCGAUAAUCCACGAUUCACCUCACCAUCCUUUGCCUAAUACAGCCUAUAUACCGCCGUCACAGCUUACCCUAUGAAGACAUAAAAGUAAGCCGAACAGCUACAUCCAGCUAAAAAGUCAGGUCAAGGUGUAGCUUACUAGGAUGGAAGAAAUGGGCUACAUUUUCUUACCAAAGAAAUACCAACGGAUAUGAACUUUGAAACAAGUCUUAACAAAGCCGGAUUUAGCAGUAAAUUGAAAGCAGAGAGUUCAAUUU
rnacentral:rRNA from 1 species